rnacentral:rRNA from 1 species
UACGGAGGGUGCAAGCGUUAAUCGGAAUUACUGGGCGUAAAGCGCACGCAGGUGGCUGAGUCAGUCGAUUGUGAAAGCCCUGGGCUUAACCUGGGAAUUGCAGUCGAUACUACUCAGCUAGAGUAUGGGAGAGGGUAGUGGAAUUCCCGGUGUAGCGGUGAAAUGCGUAGAUAUCGGGAGGAACAUCAGUGGCGAAGGCGGCUACCUGGCCCAAUACUGACACUCAGGUGCGAAAGCGUGGGGAGCAAACGGG